UGCCAGCCGCCGCAGUAAUACCGGCAGCUCAAGUGAUGGCCACUCUUAUUGGGCCUAAAGCGUCCGCAGCCGGCUGCGCAAGUCCGUCGGGAAAUCCACUCGCCCAACGAGUGGGCGUCCGACGGAAACUGCACAGCUUGGGACCGGAAGGCUCGAAGGGUACGUUCGGGGUAGGAGUGAAAUCCCAUAAUCCCGCACGGACCACCGAUGGCGAAAGCACUUCGAGAAAACGGAUCCGACAGUGAGGGACGAAAGCCAGGGUCUCCAACCGGAUUAGAUACCCCAGUAGUCC
rnacentral:rRNA from 1 species